CUACGGGCGGCGGCAGUGGGGAAUUUUGGUCAAUGGGCGCAAGCCUGAUCCAGCCAUUCCGCGUGAGUGAAGAAGGCCUUCGGGUUGUAAAGCUCUUUCGCAAGGGAAGAAAACUUAUCCUCUAACAUAGGGUGAGGUUGACGGUACCUUGAUAAGAAGCACCGGCUAACUACGUGCCAGCAGCCGCGGUAAUACGUAGGGUGCGAGCGUUAAUCGGAAUUACUGGGCGUAAAGCGUGCGCAGGCUGUUUUGUAAGUCAGAUGUGAAAUCCCCGAGCUCAACUUGGGAACUGCGUUUGAAACUACAAGACUAGAAUAUGUCAGAGGGGGGUAGAAUUCCAUGUGUAGCAGUGAAAUGCGUAGAGAUGUGGAGGAAUACCAAUGGCGAAGGCAGCCCCCUGGGAUAAUAUUGACGCUCAUGCACGAAAGCGUGGGGAGCAAACAGGAUUAGAUACCCCGGUAGUC
rnacentral:rRNA from 1 species